UACGGCCGCAUCAUGUUGAAACACCGGUUCCCACACGAACACCGAAAUUAAGCAACGUCGUGUCUGGUCUGUACCUAGAUGGGUGACCGCUUGAGAAUCCCAGGUGCUGUAUG